GAUGAACGCUGGCGGCGUGCCUAAUACAUGCAAGUCGAGCGAACAGACGAGGAGCUUACUCCUCUGACGUUAGCGGCGGACGGGUGAGUAACACGUGGAUAACCUACCUAUAAGACUGGGAUAACUUCGGGAAACCGGAGCUAAUACCGGAUAACAUGUUGAACCGCAUGGUUCAACAGUGAAAGACGGUCUUGCUGUCACUUAUAGAUGGAUCCGCGUCGCAUUAGCUAGUUGGUAAGGUAACGGCUUACCAAGGCAACGAUGCGUAGCCGACCUGAGAGGGUGAUCGGCCACACUGGAACUGAGACACGGUCCAGACUCCUACGGGAGGCAGCAGUAGGGAAUCUUCCGCAAUGGGCGAAAGCCUGACGGAGCAACGCCGCGUGAGUGAAGAAGGUCUUCGGAUCGUAAAACUCUGUUAUUAGGGAAGAACAAAUGUGUAAGUAACUAUGCACGUCUUGACGGUACCUAAUCAGAAAGCCACGGCUAACUACGUGCCAGCAGCCGCGGUAAUACGUAGGUGGCAAGCGUUAUCCGGAAUUAUUGGGCGUAAAGCGCGCGUAGGCGGUUUUUUAAGUCUGAUGUGAAAGCCCACGGCUCAACCGUGGAGGGUCAUUGGAAACUGGAAAACUUGAGUGCAGAAGAGGAAAGUGGAAUUCCAUGUGUAGCGGUGAAAUGCGCAGAGAUAUGGAGGAACACCAGUGGCGAAGGCGACUUUCUGGUCUGUAACUGACGCUGAUGUGCGAAAGCGUGGGGAUCAAACAGGAUUAGAUACCCUGGUAGUCCACGCCGUAAACGAUGAGUGCUAAGUGUUAGGGGGUUUCCGCCCCUUAGUGCUGCAGCUAACGCAUUAAGCACUCCGCCUGGGGAGUACGACCGCAAGGUUGAAACUCAAAGGAAUUGACGGGGACCCGCACAAGCGGUGGGGCAUGUGGUUUAAUUCGAAGCAACGCGAAGAACCUUACCAAAUCUUGACAUCCUCUGACCCCUCUAGAGAUAGAGUUUUCCCCUUCGGGGGACAGAGUGACAGGUGGUGCAUGGUUGUCGUCAGCUCGUGUCGUGAGAUGUUGGGUUAAGUCCCGCAACGAGCGCAACCCUUAAGCUUAGUUGCCAUCAUUAAGUUGGGCACUCUAAGUUGACUGCCGGUGACAAACCGGAGGAAGGUGGGGAUGACGUCAAAUCAUCAUGCCCCUUAUGAUUUGGGCUACACACGUGCUACAAUGGACAAUACAAAGGGUAGCGAAACCGCGAGGUCAAGCAAAUCCCAUAAAGUUGUUCUCAGUUCGGAUUGUAGUCUGCAACUCGACUACAUGAAGCUGGAAUCGCUAGUAAUCGUAGAUCAGCAUGCUACGGUGAAUACGUUCCCGGGUCU
rnacentral:rRNA from 1 species